rnacentral:misc_RNA from 1 species
GAUGAAGAACGUAGCGAAAUGCGAUAAGUAGUGUGAAUUGCAGAAUUCAGUGAAUCAUCGAAUCUUUGAACGCACAUUGCGCCCCUUGGUAUUCCAUGGGGCAUGCCUGUUCGAGCGUCAUUUGUACCUUCAAGCCUUGCUUGGUGUUGGGUGUUUGUCUCGCCUCUGCGUGUAGACUCGCCUCAAAACAAUUGGCAGCCGGCGUAUUGAUUUCGGAGCGCAGUACAUCUCGCGCUUUGCACUCAGAACGACGACGUCCAAAAGUACAUUUUUACACUCUUGACCUCGGAUCAGGUAGGGAUACCCGCUGAACUUAAGCAUAUCAAUAAGCGGAGGA